UGGGUGGAUAUAAAGGGAUUACAUGAUGCACUGAUGACGAAUGAAGCGGCGGAGAAGGUCGAACUCACUUUAGCGAUGUGGAGCAUGUGGACCAGUUAAACAUCCGAAGAGGAACCCAUGCUAGGGUUCGGUUCUACAUCACCUAAAGGAUCCGGUGAGGGAGGCGUUUGGUGAGAUGCCCUUCGAAUUUGGUUCUGCCCGAUUUCCGGUCAAGCUCACCGUGAAAUAUGAGCGGGCUGUUGGCUUUUGUCGAGUUUGUACGUGGGAUGCUGAUCCACUCGGAGGAGGGCUGUGGUGGUGCCUCCUCAAUUCAUUGAGAUUGACUCAAUGAAAACCCCUUUUGGCUAUGGAGAAGAGGCUAGGGUCUCUGCUAACUCUAACCCUAACUCUAGGUCCAAUUCGACUUCAGGUGCCACACAGCUUGAUCUUCUGAGGCAGGGUUCUGUGAAUUCUAGGGGAGGCUCUACAAUCGGUGUUCGCUCUUAGAAGAUCCCCAUUCCAGUCACCAACCCUUUUGCUGGUUCCGGUUCGGCAGUUGGCGAGGUUUCGUAACCCUCUAACUGGUUUCUCUACUGUUGCGUCACCGGUAGUGGCGCCGGUGAUUAUUCCGGCUAGUGCAAUCCCGGUUCCGGCGCUGCCAAUCUCAGGUACCAAGAGGAGUGCUGACAUGGCCCUGGUGUCAAUGGGGAAGAGAGGCAGUGGUGAGGGGGACGUAGAUCGGCUGUGUAUGGUUCCUUAUGAGUUAGGGAUUGCUCCCGAGAUGGCACUUAAGCAUUCUGGUGGUAUUUUGGUUGUAUCUCCGGCGAAAAAAAGGAAAGCGGGGCGCCCUCCGGGUUCUAAUUAAGAACAAGAAGAGUGGAGCUGCGGUGGUGUCCGGGGAGGGUUCCUCCUCGUCGGGACCAAAGGGAGCUAGGAAACGAUCCUUUGGGGCCUGUAAAGCCUUGGCUCGGAAAUGGGCUGCUGAGUUGAGUUUGGAGGCUAAUCCGGACUCUCAAGUUGCUGUUUGUGUGGAGGUGGACGAUGGGGGUACGACGCCGGCAUCUGCUGGUAGUUCCUCAGGGGUCUCCGCUUUAGAGCAAGUUGAGCUUGGUUCUUGAAUAAUUUAGUCAGAAUAAACAAGGUUUUUUUAGGAAUUUUUAGAUUGCUUCGGUUUCGUUGUUUUUGUUCUCGUCACUUUGGUCACUUUUUGGUUACUAUGGUUACUCUGCUUAGUGUCGACUGCGCCUAUGGGUUGCAAUAUAGAGAUUAUCUAGGGUAGGUUCUAGGUAGUCUUGCAUGACUCAAUUUCUAACGGUGCCCGCGACGGCGUUUCAUAUUCACGUUGUAAUUCGACUUUCAGUUAUCAAUAUAUUCAUGACUAACAUGCAUUUAUC